AUACUUACCUGGCGCGGGGGAUACCGUGAUCAAGAAGGCGGUGCCUCCAGGACGAGGCCUGUACAUUGCACUCCGUAUGGGCUGACUCCUGCGACUACCCCCCAAAUACGGGUGCUGCGCGAGCGCGAUAAUUUUUGGUAGUGGGGACAAGCGUUCGCGCUGUCCCUU
rnacentral:snRNA from 1 species